rnacentral:sRNA from 1 species
UAAUUCAUAUGCUAGUUGAGGAACAACUUCAGGCUGGUCAUAUUGAAUCAACGCUUAGUCCUUGGAACACCCCCAUUUUUGUUAUUAAGAAAAAGUCAGGGAAUUUGAGGUUACUACAGGAUUUAAGGGCAAUAAACCAUGUAAUUCAGCCUAUGGGAUCAUUGAAGCCCAGACUUCCUUCCCCCACAGCAUUUUCUCUAAACUAUAGCUUAAUGGUAAUAGAUCUAAAAGAUUGUUUUUAUCUCAAUAAGGUUGCAUCCUGAGGAUUGUGAAAAAUUUGUUUUCAG